AGAGUUUGAUCAUGGCUCAGAUUGAACGCUGGCGGCAUGCUUUACACAUGCAAGUCGAACGGUAACAGGGAGCUUGCUCCGCUGACGAGUGGCGAACGGGUGAGUAAUGCAUCGGAACGUGCCGUGUAAUGGGGGAUAACGUAGCGAAAGUUACGCUAAUACCGCAUACGCCCUGAGGGGGAAAGUGGGGGACCGCAAGGCCUCACGUUAUACGAGCGGCCGAUGUCGGAUUAGCUAGUUGGUGGGGUAAAGGCCUACCAAGGCGACGAUCCGUAGCGGGUCUGAGAGGAUGAUCCGCCACACUGGGACUGAGACACGGCCCAGACUCCUACGGGAGGCAGCAGUGGGGAAUUUUGGACAAUGGGCGCAAGCCUGAUCCAGCCAUGCCGCGUGAGUGAAGAAGGCCUUCGGGUUGUAAAGCUCUUUCGGCCGGGAAGAAAUCGUGUUCUCUAACAUAGGACAUGGAUGACGGUACCGGACUAAGAAGCACCGGCUAACUACGUG
rnacentral:rRNA from 1 species